rnacentral:rRNA from 1 species
AUUGAACGCUGGCGGCAGGCCUAACACAUGCAAGUCGAGCGGAGCGGCGGACGGGUGAGUAAUGCCUAGGAAUCUGCCUGGUAGUGGGGGAUAACGUCCGGAAACGGGCGCUAAUACCGCAUACUAUCAGAUGAGCCUAGGUCGGAUUAGCUAGUGGGUGGGGUAAAGGCCUACCAAGGCGACGAUCCGUAACUGGUUUGAGAGGAUGAUCAGUAACAUUGGAACUGAGACACGGGCCAAACUCCUACGGAGGGCAGCAGAGGGGAAUAUUGGACAAUGGGCGAAAGCCUGACCCAGCCAGGCCGGGUGGGUGAAGAAGGUCUUCGGAUUGUAAAGCACUUUAAGUUGGGAGGCGGUACCAACAGAAUAAGCACCGGCUAACUUCGUGCCAGCCGCCGCGGUAAUAC